rnacentral:lncRNA from 1 species
UAAUGACAUAUAUACAGUACUAACAAGAAUAUGGGGGCUUUCAUAACUUGAGGUAGCUUCCAUCUUCUUGUUGUGUAUUUAUUUUUCUUAGAUGAAAACCUUACACCAAGAAGUGGGGUCUCUCAGAAAAUUAUCAUUGUUAUUCUCCUUUUCAUUGUUUGGGCUUUUUUUUCUCAAUAUAUGCUUCUACAAAAAAAAGUAGGUCGGCCCCAUGUUGCCACCGUGGCCGGUGACUCGGGUGGAUCCAAUCCACCCGACCUCCAGGGUCACUGUGUCUCUCUCCGUUACCUCCUUCGUCGCUGGAGGAUGCUGGCGGGCUAAGCCUAGGCGGUCGACGAUGAUGGCGGAGGCUCCUGCCUUCACUGCAUCGGUGGAUCACGCGGAAUCUCUAGGCACAUGGAGCAUUGCCAAAACCAGCGCCAGGGUGGCGCUCGGCUGACUCCCGACGUUGGUUCCACACAAACACAUGGGGAGGAGAACUAUAUGUUACAAUCUGAAAAUGGCUAAGGAGACAUCAGAUCUACCUUCUUGGCUCGGAGGGUGUCAUGGGUGGCGCACAACUCCCCCCUAUCGGCAGAAACACAUGGGGAGGGGAACAGAACAGAGAGCGGGGCGGUUGGCGGGGGACUCCUCGGCGGUCCGUGGGGAAAUACAAUGUGAAGAAGAGAGUGCGACAUGACGAAGGUGAGAUGGGCGUUAUCUGGUUUCAAUGGAGAGGGCUCCAGUGAAAAAUGUCCCGUUAUGGCGGGAAACGAGCGGGGAGGUGAGGGUUCGGCAGGGAAAGAGAAGGGUGCAUCGUGGGUGUGGUUUUUUUUAAUUUGUUCGGCCUGCACGUGUUAGAGAUAACAUGGCAGAUAGUCUGGAUAACCAUAUUUCUUCCUCACAUAUGGAUAUGCAUGGAUUUGAAGAUACCCUAUUCUCCAGACGGUUGAAUUUUGGGGAUCCUGUUAGAUGUCCGUUUGAUGUACGUUCACACUCGAACGUAGGAGGGAGAAAUGAGCUUCCACUUUAGAAUUUAAUUAUUUUUUUGAUUUAUUUAUAUGCAUUGUAGCCCGUAGCAACGCACGGGCAUUCUACCGGACUGACAUAAAGUCAGUGAGUUCAAAAUUUCCAUGUUUAGUUUUGACUGAUGUUAUGGUUCUUCAUUGAGUUUUGUUCCAGGUAUUUACCUAGAUCCUUGAGAUGCUAUUCGUAUUGGCCUGAAUGCAGUUGAAUUCUGAAUCAUAAACAAGCUGGGAGAUUUGUCUUCCACAUAGUAGGUGUUGAUGCUUAUGAUUUUCUUCAAAAAAGAUAUGGGAAAGGAUAACCCAAUAUUUUAGUUUUCAUUAUGAGGACCAUGUACAUAAUCGACCAUAUAGUUCAAAAAAGAUCUAUUGAUGAAGGUUUGUUUGAGUUCCACUAUUUCAGUUCACACAUGUGUUGGGGAACGUAGUAAUUUCAAAAAAAUUCCUACGCACACGCAAGAUCAUGGUGAUGGCAUAGCAACGAGAGGGGAGAGUGUUGUCCACGUACCCUCGUAGACCGUAAGCGGAAGCGUUAUGACAACGCGGUUGAUGUAGUCGUACGUCUUCACGAUCCGACCGAUCCAAGUACCGAACGUACGGCACCUCCGAGUUCAGCACACGUUCAGCUCGAUGACGAUCCCCGGACUCCGAUCCAGCAAAGUGUCGGGGAUGAAUUCUGUCAGCACGACGGCGUGAUGACGAUGAUGAUGCUCCACCGGCGCAGGGCUUCGCCUAAACUCCGCGACGAUAUGACCGAGGUGGAAUAUGGUGGAGGGGGGCACCGCACACGGCUAAGGAAUGAUCCGUAGAUCAACUUGUGUGUCCUAGGGUGCCUCCCUGCCCCCGUAUAUAAAGGAGCCAAGGGGGAGGGGGCGGCCGGCCAAGGAGGGCGCGCCAAGGGGGAGUCCUACUCCCACCGGGAGUAGGACUCCCUUCUUUCCUAGUUGGAGUAGGAGAAGGGGGAAGGAGGAGGAAGAGGGGAAGGAAAGGGGGGGCGCCGCCCCCCUCUCCUUGUCCUAUUCGGACUAGGGAGGGGAGGGGGCGCAGCCCACCUCUUGCCUCCUCUCCUCUUCUCCCUUAGGGCNNNNNNNNNNNNNNNNNNNNNNNNNNNNNNNNNNNNNNNNNNNNNNNNNNNNNNNNNNNNNNNNNNNNNNNNNNNNNNNNNNNNNNNNNNNNNNNNNNNNNNNNNNNNNNNNNNNNNNNNNNNNNNNNNNNNNNNNNNNNNNNNNNNNNNNNNNNNNNNNNNNNNNNNNNNNNNNNNNNNNNNNNNNNNNNNNNNNNNNNNNNNNNNNNNNNNNNNNNNNNNNNNNNNNNNNNNNNNNNNNNNNNNNNNNNNNNNNNNNNGUACUCCAGUAAAAUGCCGAUUUCACCCGAAACACUUCUGAUGUCCAAACAUAGGCUUCCAAUAUAUCAAUCUUUAUGUCUCGACCAUUUCGAGACUCCUCGUCAUGUCCGUGAUCACAUCCGGGACUCCGAACAAACUUCGGUACAUCAAAACUUAUAAACUCAUAAUAAAACUGUCAUCGUAACAUUAAGCGUGCGGACCCUACAGGUUUGAGAACUAUGUAGACAUGACCUAGAACUAUUCUCGGUCAAUAACCAAUAGCGGGACCUGGAUGCCCAUAUUGGCUCCUACAUAUUCUACGAAGAUCUUUAUCGGUCAAACCGCAUAACAACAUACGUUGUUCCCUUUGUCAUCGGUAUGUUACUUGCCCGAGAUUCGAUCGUCGGUAUCCAAUACCUAGUUCAAUCUCGUUACCGACAAGUCUCUUUACUCGUUACGUAAUGCAUCAUUCCGUAACUAACUCAUUAGCUACAUUGCUUGCAAGGCUUAUAGUGAUGUGCAUUACCGAGAGGGCCCAGAGAUACCUCUCCGACAAUCGGAGUGACAAAACCUAAUCUCGAAAUACGCCAACCCAACAUGUACCUUUGGAGACACCUGUAGUACUCCUUUAUAAUCACCCAGUUACGUUAUGACAUUUGGUAGCACCCAAAGUGUUCCUCCGGUAAACGGGAGUUGCAUAAUCUCAUAGUUACAGGAACAUGUAUAAGUCAUGAAGAAAGCAAUAGCAAUAUACUAAACGAUCAAGUGCUAGGCUAACGGAAUGGGUCAUGUCAAUCACAUCAUUCUCCUAAUGAUGUGAUCCCGUUAAUCAAAUAACAACACAUGUCUAUGGUUAGGAAACAUAACCAUCUUUGAUUAAUGAGCUAGUCAAGUAGAGGCACACUAGUGACACGAUGUUUGUCUAUGUAUUCACACAUGUAUUAUGUUUCCGGUUAAUACAAUUCUAGCAUGAAUAAUAAACAUUUCUCAUGAAAUGAGGAAAUAAAUAAUAACUUUAUUAUUGCCUCUAGGGCAUAUUUCCUUCAGUCUCCCACUUGCACUAGAGUCAAUAAUCUAGUUCACAUCGCCAUGUGAUUUAACACCAAUAUUCAUAUCUGUAUAUGAUUAACACCCAUAGUUCAUAUCGUCAUGUGACUAACACCCAAGGAUUUACUAGAGUCAAUAAUCUAGUUCACAUCGCUAUGUGAUUAACACCCAAAGAGUACUAAGGUGUGAUCAUGUUUUGCUCAUGAGAGAAGCUUAGUCAACGGGUCUGUCAUAUUCAGAGACGUAUGUAUUUUGCAAAUAUUCUAUGUCUACAAUGCUCUGCACGGAGCUACUCUAGCUAAUUGCUCCCACUUUCAAUAUGUAUCCAGAUUGAGACUUAGAGUCAUCUGGAUUGGUGUAAAAUCUUGCAUCGUUGUAACUUUUUACGACGAACUCUUUUAUCACCUCCAUAAUCGAGAAACAUCUCCUUAGUCCUCACUAAGGAUAUUCUUGACCCAUGUCCAGUGAUCUACUAUGAGAUCAAAAUUGUAUUCCUUUGCCAAACAUAGAGAAAGGUAUACAAUAGGUCUGGUUCACAGCAUAGCAUACUUUAUAGAACCUAUGACUGAGGCAUAGGGAAUGACUUUUCAUUCUCUUUCUAUUUUCUGCACUCGUCGGGUCUUGAGUCUUACUCAACUUCACACCUUGUAACACAGGCAAGAACUCCUUCUUUGACUGUUCCAUUUUGAACUAUUUCAAAAUCUUGUCAAGGUAUGUACUCAUUGAAAAAUCUUAUCAAGCGUUUUGAUCUAUCUCUAUAUAUCUUGAUGCUCAAUAUGUAAGCAGCUUCACCGAGGUCUUUCUUUGAAAAACUCUUAUUCAAGUAUCCUUUCAUGCUAUCCAGAAUUUCUAUAUCAUUUCUAGUCAACAAUAUGUCAUCCACAUAUAAUAUUAGAAAUGCUACAGAGCUCCCACUCACUUUUUUGUGAAUACAGGCUUCACUACAAGUCUGUAUAAAACUAUAUGCUUUGAUCAACUUAUCAAAGCGUAUAUUCCAAUUCUGAGAUGCUUGCACCAGUCCAUAGAUGGAUCGCUGGAGCUUGCAAAUUUUGUUAGCAUCUUUAGGAUUGACAAAAUCUUCUGGUUGCAUCAUAUGCAACUCUUCUUUAAUAAAUCCAUUAAGGAAUGCAGUUUUGACAUCCAUUUGCCAGAUUUCAUAAAAUGUGGCAAUUGCUAACAUGAUUCGAACAGACUUAAGCAUCGCUACAGUUGAGAAAAUCUCAUUGUAGUCAACAUUUCGAACUAUGUCAAAAACCUUUUUGUGACAAGUCGAGCUUUGUAGAUAGUAACACUACUAUCAACGUCCGUCUUCCUUUUGAAGAUCCAUUUAUACAAUAUGGCUUGCCGAUCAUCGGGCAACUCCACCAAAGUCCACACUUUGUUCUCAUACAUGGAUCCUAUCUCAGAUUUCAUGGCCUCCAGCCAUUUCCCGGAAUCUGGGCUCACCAUCGCUUCUUCAUAGUUCGUAGGUUCGUCAUGGUCUAGUAACAUAACUUCCAGAACAGGAUUACCGUACCACUCUGGUGCGGAUCUUACUCUGGAAGACCUACGAGGUUCUGUAGUAACUUAAUCUGAAGUUUCAUGAUCAUCAUCAUUAACUUCCUCACUAAUUGGUGUAGUAGUCACAGGAACAGAUUUCUGUGAUGAACUACUUUCAAAUAAGGGAGCAGGUACAGUUACCUCAUCAAGUUCUACUUUCCUCCCACUCACUUCUUUCGAGAGAAACUCUUUCUCUAGAAAGGAUCCAUUCUUAGCAACGAAUGUUUUGCCUUCGGAUCUGUGAUAGAAGGAGUACCCAAUAGUCUCUUUUGGGCAUCCUAUGAAGACGCACUUCUCCGAUUUGGGUUCAAGCUUAUCAGGUUGAAAACCUUUUUCAUAUAAGCAUCGCAACUCCAAACUUUAAGAAACGACAACUUACGUUUACUGCUAAACCAUAGUUCAUACGGUGUCAUCUCAACGGAUUUAGAUGGUGCCCUUUUAACGUGAAUGCAGUUGUCUCUAAUGCAUAACCCCAAAACGAUAAUGGUAAAUUAGUAAGAGACAUCAUAGAUCGCACCAUAUCCAAUAAAGUGCGGUUACGACGUUCGGACACACCAUAACGUUGUGGUGUUCCAGGUGGCAUGAGCUGUGAAACUAUUCCACAUUGUUUUAAUUGAAGACCAAACUCGUAACUCAAAUAUUCGUCUCCGCGAUCAGAUCGCAGAAACUUUAUUUUCUUGUUAUGAUGAUUUUUACACUUCACUCUGAAAUUCUUUGAACCUUUCAACUAUUUCAGACUUAUGUUUCAUCAAGUAGAUAUACCCAUAUCUGCUCAAAUCAUCUUGUGAAGGUCAGAAAAAUAAUGAUACUUGCCACGAGCAUCAACACUCAUUGGAUCGCAUACAUCGGUAUGUAUUAUUUCCAAUAAGUCAGUAGCUUGUUCAAUUGUUCCGGAGAACGGAGUUUUAGUCAUCUUGCCCAAAAGGCAUGGUUCGCAAGCAUCAAAUGAUUCAUAACCAAGUGAUUCCAAAAAUCCAUCUUUAUGGAGUUUCUUCGUGCACUUUACACCGAUAUGACCCAAAUGGCAGUGCCACAAAUAAGUUGCACUAUCAUUAUUAACUUUGCAUCUUUUGGCAUCAAUAUUAUGAAUAUGUGUAUCACUACGAUCGAGAUCCAACAAACUAUUUCCAUUGGGUGUAUAACCAUCGAAGGUCUUAUUCAUGUAAACAGAAUAGCAAUUAUUCUUUAACUUCAAAUGAAUAAUUGUAUCGCAAUAAACAUGAUCAAAUCAUAUUCAUGCUCAACGCAAAUGCCAAAUAACAUUUAUUUAGGUUUAACACUAAUCCCGAAAGUAUAGGGAGUGUGCGAUGAUGAUCAUAUCAAUCUUGGAACCACUUCCAACACUCAUCGUCACUUCCCUUUCAACUAGUCUCUGUUUAUAUAACUCCUGUUUCGAGUUACUAAUCUUAGCAAGUGAACAAAUAUCAAAUACUCAGGGGCUACUAUAAACACUUAGUAAGGCACACAUCAAUAACCUGUAUAUCAAAUAUACCUUGUUCACUUCGCCAUCCUUCUUAUCCACCAAAUAUUCAGGGCAUUUCCGCUUCCAGUGACCAUUUCCUUUGCAGUGUAAGCACUCAGUUUCAGGCUUUGGUCCAGCUGUGGGCUUCUUCGCGGGAGUGACAACUUGCUUGUCAUUCUACUUGAAGUUCCCUUUCUAUCCCUUUGCCCUUUUCUUCAAACUAGUGGUCUUGUUAAUCAUCAACACUUGAUGCUCUUUCUUGAUUUCUACCUUCGUCGAUUUCAGCAUCACGAAGAGCUCGGGAAUCAUUUUCGUCAUCCCUUGCAUUAUAGUUCAUCACGAAGUUCUACUAACUUGGUGGUGGUGACUAGAGAAUUCUGUCAAUCACUAUCUUAUCUGGAAGAUUAACUCCCACUUGAUUCAAGCGAUUGUAGUACCCAGACAAUAUGAGCACAUGCUCACUAGUUGAGCGAUUCUCCUCCAUCUUUUAGCUAUAGAACUUGUUGGAGACUUUAUAUCUCUCAACUCGGGUAUUUACUUGAAAUAUUAACUUCAACUCCUGGAACAUCUCAUAUGGUCCAUGACGUUCAAAAACGUCUUUGAAGUCCCGAUUCUAAGUCAUAAAGCAUGGUGCACAAAACUAUCAAGUAGUCAUCAUAUUGAGCUAGCCAAAGGUUCAUAACAUCUGCAUCUGCUCCUGCAAUAGGUCUGUCACCUAGCGGUGCAUUAAGGACAUCUGUGCAGCAAUGAGGAUAAACCUCAGAUCACGGAUCCAAUCCGCAUCAUUGCUACUAACAUCUUUCAACACAAUUUUCUCUAGGAACAUUCAAAAUAAAUAUAUGAAAAGCAACAACGCGAGCUAUUGAUCUACAACAUAAUUUGCAAAAUACUACCUAGACUAAGUUCAUGAUAAAUUUAAGUUCAAUUAAUCAUAUUACUUAAGAACUCCCACUUAGACAGACAUCUCUCUAGUCAUCUAAGUGAUUAUGUGAUCCAAAUCAACUAAACCAUGUCCGAUCAUCACGUGAGAUGGAGUAGUUUCAAUGGUGAACAUCACUAUAUUGAUCAUAUCUACUAUAUGAUUCACGUUCGACCUUUCAGUCUCCGUGUUCCGAGGCCAUAUCUGUAUAUGCUAGGCUCGUCAAGUUUAACCUGAGUAUUCCACGUGUGCAACUGUUUUGCGCCCGUUGUAUUUGAACGUAGAGCCUAUCACACCCGAUCAUCACGUGGUGUCUCGGCACGAAGAACUUUCGCAACGGUGCAUACUCAGGGAGAACACUUCUUGAUAAUUUAGUGAGAGAUCAUCUUAAAAUGCUACCGUCAAUCAAAGCAAGAUAAGAUGCAUAAAGGAUAAACAUCACAUGCAAUCAAUAUAAGUGAUAUGAUAUGGCCAUCAUCAUCUUGUGCUUGUGAUCUCCAUCUUCGAAGCACCGUCGUGAUCACCAUCGUCACCGGCGUGACACCUUGAUCUCCAUCGUAGCAUCAUUGUCGUUACGCCAUCUAUUGCUUCUACGACUAUCGCUACCGCUUAGUGAUAAAGUAAAGCAAUUACAGGGCGUUUGCAUUUCAUACAAUAAAGCGGCAACCAUAUGGCUCCUGCCAGUUGCCGAUAACUUCGGUUACAAAACAUGAUCAUCUCAUACAAUAAAAUAUAGCAUCACGUCUUGACCAUAUCACAUCACAUCAUGCCCUGCAAAAACAAGUUAGACGUCCUCUACUUUGUUGUUGCAAAUUUUACGUGGCUGCUACGGGCUUAGCAAGAACCAAUCUUACCUACGCAUCAAAACCACAAUGACAGUUCGUCAAGUUAGUGUUGUUUUAACCUUUGCAAGGACCGGGCGUAGCCACACUCGGUUCAACUAAAGUUGGAGAAACUAACACCCGCUAGUCACCUGUGUGCAAAGCACGGCGGUAAAACCAGUCUCGCGUAAGCAUACGCGUAAUGUCGGUCCGGGCCGCUUCAUCCAACAAUACCGCUGAACCAAAGUAUGACAUGAUGGUAAGCAGUAUGACUUGUAUCGCCCACAACUCACUUGUGUUCUACUCGUGCAUAUAACAUCAACGCAUAAAACCUAGGCUCGGAUGCCACUGUUGGGGAACGUAGUAAUUUCAAAAAAAAUCCUACGCACACGCAAGAUCAUGGUGAUGGCAUAGCAACGAGAGGGGAGAGUGUUGUCCACGUACCCUCGUAGACCGUAAGCGGAAGCGUUAUGACAACGCGGUUGAUGUAGUCGUACGUCUUCACGAUCUGACCGACCCAAGUACCGAACGUACGGCACCUCCGAGUUUAGCACACGUUCAGCUCGAUGACGAUCCCCGGACUCCGAUCCAGCAAAGUGUCGGGGAUGAAUUCUGUCAGCACAACAGUGUGGUGACGAUGAUGAUGCUCCACCGGCGCAGGGCUUCGCCUAAACUCCGCGACGAUAUGACCGAGGUGGAAUAUGGUGGAGGGGGGCACCGCACACGGCUAAGGAACGAUCCGUAGAUCAACUUAUGUGUCCUAGGGUGCCCCCCUGCCCCCGUAUAUAAAGGAGCCAAGGGGGAGGGGGCGGCCGGCCAAGGAGGGCGCGCCAAGGGGGGAGUCCUACUCCCACCGGGAGUAGGACUCCCUUCUUUCCUAGUUGGAGUAGGAGAAGGGGGAAGGAGGAGGAAGAGGGGAAGGAAAGGGGGGGGGGUGCCGCCCCCCUCUCAUUAUCCUAUUCAGACUAGGGAGGGGAGGGGGCGCGGCCCACCUCUUGCCUCCUCUCCUCUUCUCCCUUAGGGCCCAUGAAGGCCCAAUAACCCCCGGGAGGGUUCCGGCAACCCCCCGGUACUCCAGUAAAAUGCCGAUUUCACCCGGAACACUUCCGAUGUCCAAACAUAGGCUUUCAAUAUAUGAAUCUUUAUGUCUCGACCAUUUCGAGACUCCUCGUCAUGUCCGUGAUCACAUCCGGGACUCCGAACAAACUUCGGUACAUCAAAACUUAUAAACUCAUAAUAAAACUGUCAUCGUAACGUUAAGCGUGUGGACCCUACGGGUUCGAGAACUAUGUAGACAUGACCUAGAAUUAUUCUCGGUCAAUAACCAAUAGCGGGACCUGGAUGCCCAUAUUGGCUCCUACAUAUUCUACGAAGAUCUUUAUCGGUCAAACCGCAUAACAACAUACGUUGUUCCCUUUGUCAUCGGUAUGUUACUUGCCCGAGAUUCGAUCGUCGGUAUCCAAUACCUAGUUCAAUCUCGUUACCGGCAAGUCUCUUUACUCGUUACGUAAUGCAUCAUUCCGUAACUAACUCAUUAGCUACAUUGCUUGCAAGGCUUAUAGUGAUGUGCAUUACCGAGAGGGCCUAGAGAUACCUCUCCGAGAAUCGGAGUGACAAAACCUAAUCUCGAAAUACGCCAACCCAACAUGUACCUUUGGAGACACCUGUAGUACUCCUUUAUAAUCACCCAGUUACAUUGUGACGUUUGGUAGCACCCAAAGUGUUCCUCCGGUAAACGGGAGUUGCAUAAUCUCAUAGUUACAGGAACAUGUAUAAGUCAUGAAGAAAGCAAUAGCAAUAUACUAAACGAUCAAGUGCUAGGCUAACGGAAUGGGUCAUGUCAAUCACAUCAUUCUCCUAAUGAUGUGAUCCCGUUAAUCAAAUAACAACACAUGUAUAUGGUUAGGAAACAUAACCAUCUUUGAUUAAUGAGCUAGUCAAGUAGAGGCACACUAGUGACACGAUGUUUGUCUAUGUAUUCACACAUGUAUUAUGUUUCUGGUUAAUACAAUUCUAGCAUGAAUAAUAAACAUUUCUCAUGAAAUGAGGAAAUAAAUAAUAACUUUAUUAUUGCCUCUAGGGCAUAUUUCCUUCAACAUGUACAUGUUCUGUAUUUUUUGCAGUUUUUAGUGCAUGCUCGGAGAACAAGAUAAGAGGAGAGGCUUGAAUCUUGAGAUGACAAGGGUAGUCACCUGCUGCGACUAAAGGUUCAGUUUCAUACUUCUGAUGAUAUUGUUCGGAUGAUUGCCCUUGUACUAUUCUUUUUAGUACGUACUAAAAUAUCUUGUUGUACGAAAAUCUGAUUUCUACUAAAACUUUGUCAAGUGGCUCAUUUUUCUUGUACUAAUAUCUGAUUUUUUUUACUGAUUACUGAAAUGUACCUUGUUACUAAAACUUCAUAGGAAGGAGGUCAAUGAAGCAAAAGGGACGAAAAGGAAGGAGCAACGCCACAGGGACGAUGUUGUCGGCAGCGCUUUGGAAGGAUUCGCUCCAGAGAAGUUACGGUAGUCGGCCAUCGCCCAGGGGAAGCGGGGAGAAUGUCGUUCAAAACGCCUGGGUCUAGAGGAGUGUGUCCAGGUGGUGGCCGAGGAUGGCGACAAGCAAUUGGGUUGGGCAUUUGUCAACGUGAUGGCGUCGUUGCUCAAGGUACCAACACCCUUGUUUUGACCCAAUGUUUCUCGGCUAGCUGUGCAUGGCUGGGACUGUUUCGUGCAUAUAGGGGACGACUCAUGCCAUCCACUUCCAAAGCAAUAAGGUAGCCAUCCAUGUCACCGUCGCUUGCUGUUAGUUUUUUUUUGGAUUCCAUAGGUGUUCCUUAAUGCAUCAAUCAUUUUCAAUUAGGACGGGAGUCUGAAAAAUGUUGUAAGAUUAUCGCCAUUUUUUUAAACUACAAAAGUCCAAAGAUUAGAAGCAUGAUCUUUUAUUUUUCAUGUUGCUCUACCUCUGUAGUGUCAAAUCAUAGGAACUUUUAUCACAUAUGCUAAUUUAUCCUUGAUGGCAAAUAAUUCGAACAAAAUAUUCGGAAGUAAUGGAGGCCUCACCAGAGUAAGGGGGAAAAUUAUGGGAGUGGACGCACAUCAUGUAGGCGAGACGGCAGAGUUCGUGGUUGUACUGGCCAUGAGUGGGCAUAAACCACUUUACACUAAUUACUUUACAUUAAUAUUAUUGUUUGCAGACUUGAAAGGAGAAAAUAUUGGCAAAAAGUCCCUCAAAGUUCGUAGUCUGGGUGUAGAAGGUUUGGGGAUUUUGAGCCGGAUGGGCCAUUGAUGGUUGCGGUUGGCUUGGAUAGGGAAUGUAGAGAUAGUAAGUGAAGAGGAGCAGGAGAACGAAGACGAAGAAGAAUAAUGGUUUAUAGGCAGAAAAAAAUUUAAGAAUGUUGCUUAAUGUGCAUAAGGAUCCAAACAAUAUAUAUUUGACACGAUUAAAGUUGACUCAUGUCGAGCCUCAGGGUGGUGGUGGAGCGGUCAUGAUGGACGGUUAUUGUGCAAGAAUUUGUUAAACGCAUCAAAUAGAUAUUAAUUUGUAACAAAUUUUUAGUUCGAUCAUCGCACUAUAUGUAUGCAUUGUCAAAUUGCCUUUUAUUAACAGUUUACAAUGUAAGUGAAGUGGACUUAAAUUAUU